CUGAGGAAGGAGCAUGGCUCAGCGGUAAAGUUUCUGCCUUGCAUGAAGAAGGUUUCAGGUCCAAUCCCUGGAAUCUUCAGG